GACGAACGCUGUCGGCGUGCUUAACACAUGCAAGUCGAACGGAAAGGCCCUGCUUUUGUGGGGUGCUUGAGUGGCGAACGGGUGAGUAACACGUGAGUAACCUGCCCUUGACUUUGGGAUAACUUCAGGAAACUGGGGCUAAUACCGGAUAGGAGCUCCUGCUGCAUGGUGGGGGUUGGAAAGUUUCGGCGGUUGGGGAUGGACUCGCGGCUUAUCAGCUUGUUGGUGGGGUAGUGGCUUACCAAGGCUUUGACGGGUAGCCGGCCUGAGAGGGUGACCGGCCACAUUGGGACUGAGAUACGGCCCAGACUCCUACGGGAGGCAGCAGUGGGGAAUAUUGCACAAUGGGCGGAAGCCUGAUGCAGCAACGCCGCGUGCGGGAUGACGGCCUUCGGGUUGUAAACCGCUUUCGCCUGUGACGAAGCGUGAGUGACGGUAAUGGGUAAAGAAGCACCGGCUAACUACGUG
rnacentral:rRNA from 1 species